GAUGAACGCUGGCUACAGGCUUAACACAUGCAAGUCGAGGGGAAACGGCGUUGAGUGCUUGCACUGAAUGGACGUCGACCGGCGCACGGGUGAGUAACGCGUAUCCAACCUUCCCGUUACUGCGGGAUAACCUGCCGAAAGGCAGACUAAUACCGCAUGUUCUUCGAUGACGGCAUCAGAUUCGAAGCAAAGACUCGUCGGUAACGGAGGGGGAUGCGUCUGAUUAGCUUGUUGGCGGGGCGACGGCCCACCAAGGCGACGAUCAGUAGGGGUUCUGAGAGGAAGGUCCCCCACAUUGGAACUGAGACACGGUCCAAACUCCUACGGGAGGCAGCAGUGAGGAAUAUUGGUCAAUGGGCGAGAGCCUGAACCAGCCAAGUAGCGUGCAGGAUGACGGCCCUAUGGGUUGUAAACUGCUUUUAUGCGGGGAUAAAGUGAGGGACGUGUCCUUCAUUGCAGGUACCGCAUGAAUAAGGACCGGCUAAUUCCGUGCCAGCAGCCGCGGUAAUACGGAAGGUCCGGGCGUUAUCCGGAUUUAUUGGGUUUAAAGGGAGCGUAGGCCGUGGAUUAAGCGUGUUGUGAAAUGCAGGUGCUCAACGUCUGCACUGCAGCGCGAACUGGUUCACUUGAGUGUGCGCAACGCAGGCGGAAUUCGUCGUGUAGCGGUGAAAUGCUUAGAUAUGACGAAGAACUCCGAUUGCGAAGGCAGCUUGCGGGAGCACAACUGACGCUGAAGCUCGAAAGUGCGGGUAUCGAACAGG
rnacentral:rRNA from 1 species